rnacentral:lncRNA from 1 species
CUGCAUGCUCCUGUGGCCUCUUAUUUCACGUUGCUCUCCCUGCAAAUUUUGAAACAACUUUAAAGAUGAAUAAAAAGCAGCUCAGCAAGUGAAUCCCAGAUCCCGGUAAGAGAGUGUCUCCCCCAACUCACAUAGUGAGUGCACAUCAUCCCCAGAACCACCAUGAGAGUGAGCCUGGUAGCGGGUAGCACCCUGCCUGUGACGAAGCCAGCACACUAUGACGAGCAGCAGCUUCUAG